GUGGACGAAGAGUGUGGGAGUAUCUGGUCUCCCUUCAGUGAGGAGGACCGAGCACGGCUGUAAAGCUAUCUGAUUUACAUCUGCUUGAGACUGGAGCUUGAAGUGAAAGGCAUUGGACAAUUGCUUCCACUUUGAAGAGAAUGUCUCUCUUGUUAAAAAAAGAAGGAUGAGGAGGAGGAGGAAGAGGAGAAGAAGAAGAAUACAACACCAGAGGUAUCUCUCCUGGUCAAGGCUUCAAAGAACCUUCCCUGGAAUCCACAGACUCAGUGGAGAUGGCCCAGCACGUGAGCUUUCUUCAGGACCUUCAGUGAACCAAGAAAACCAACAUAGCUGCAGUACAGAGGGG